AAAGAAAAAGAAAACAGCAUUUUGCAAAUUUAAGGAAUGAUCUACUUUGAGAUAAACAGACUGCCACUAGAAGGUUAAUUGACCUGUCUAGAUUCACACAGCUAGAAUCCAUAAGCUUCCCCAGAAUGAUUGCCAAAGAACACAGCAAGGAUUAAGAAUUCUGGGACCUCCCAGGUAAGUGAGCUAUAAUAUUUCUGCUCUUCGAGGUCUAAUGUUCUUUUAUCUGUCAUGUUGUCCCUGGGUGUUUGCAUAGGUGAAGGGGC
rnacentral:lncRNA from 1 species